CACACCAGGAAAUAGCGUGGAGGGAGCCCUGGGGCAUUCCGGAAAAUGCAGUCCCUGGCCAGGAUACAUUUAAAAAUCAACAGGUCCAGCUCUUCUAAUGAUAAAACAAAAGAGAUCUUUGAAGAUUCGAAGGUUUUAAAAGUUAUUGGAUAUGAAGUCUUUCAUCAGUUUCCCAGGCAAAUCCCAGAUCAACUGAAAGAAGAGUCUAAAUUGGGAGCCAGGGAAGAAUGUCACAGGUUCACAGCUCCACAAGGAAGCCAUCAAAGAAAUGAUAUGUCCUAAGAGAACUUCUUGAGUACUCCAUGAAUAGUCAAAAGGAAUCAUAGAGAUCAGGAACUCUGAGUGACCCCUUGCCAAAAUUGUUCUCUAAGACUGAGUUCUCUUUCUCCUGGAUCUUGUAUUGUUUAGUGGGUCAUUUGUUCUUAUUGUACAACUUUAGAAAAUAUCCCUAUCUAGAUGAUACUAAAUGGAUAAUCUAUAGGGAAAAGCAUAUUAGUGGGGACAGCCGGUAUUAGAGAAUGAUCUUUCUCCAACUCCUCAGGGAUACCCCUAGUAUGUAGAAAGACUUAUGCAUAGCCUUACUCAAGGACUCAAUUUAUUCAUAUUAGUGGGAUUUGAAUAAGCAUUAUUAAGAGAUUAUUUGGUU
rnacentral:lncRNA from 1 species